rnacentral:rRNA from 1 species
CGGCCGCGUCGACGAUGAACGCUGGCGGCGUGCCUAACACAUGCAAGUCGAACGAAGCACCUGAACGGAUUUCUUCGGAUUGAAGUUCUUGUGACUGAGUGGCGGACGGGUGAGUAACGCGUGGGUAACCUGCCUCAUACAGGGGGGGAUAACAGUUAGAAAUGACUGCUAAUACCGCAUAAGCGCACAGCUUCGCAUGAAGCAGUGUGAAAAACUCCGGUGGUAUGAGAUGGGCCCGCGGCGCAUUAGCUAGUUGGUGAGGUAACGGCUCACCAAGGCGACGAUGCGUAGCCGACCUGACGAGGGUGAUCGGCCACACUGGGACUGAGUACACGGCCCAGACUCCUACGGGAGGCAGCAGUGGGAAUCUCACAUGGACGAAAGUCUGAUGGAGCAACGCGCGUGAGCGAGUGAAGGUUUUCGGAUCGUAAAACGUCUGUUGUUAGAGAAGAACAAGGAUGAGAGUAACUGCUACAGUACCCCGUGACGGUAUCGUAAACCGAGAAACGGCCACGGUCUAACGUACGUACCG